rnacentral:snoRNA from 1 species
AAUCCAUGGUGAGGGCACCUUCUUAACAAAUCCUUGUACCUCUCCUAAGCCUCAUACAGUGAUUCAUAAUCAAAUUGUAGAAAAGAGGAGAUAUCAUUUUGUAACU